UGCAUUUCAAGCAUUGAGCAUGGUGUCCAAAACCUUCGAACGGGCAUAUCUUGUAACAGUUUGGCACUCUUGUUUAAAACUGACGAUGCAUGAAACUAUUUUCACUCAUAUUUUUUAUGUAAUUUAAAUGCCAAAAUUUAGAAAAUGCAUAUGAAUGUGAAACGAAACUGUAAGUAAGUAAAUAGUGUUACAGUUACUGUACAAACAACCCAUUUUUCAAAAGAAGCGUUUUUUUUUUUGUAAACUGUACUGAUGGUUUUGCUAGUUAUGCCAUAGGUUGUUGAUAACUCGCGUUUGUUCAGCUAAUUUCAUUAUUUCUUUUAUAGCCAUUAAUGUGUUAUCAUGGUCAUUGACGUGAACAAAAGCAAACUGUUAUUUUUACAGCAUCCAGUAAAAAUACCCAUAUUGUAAAUCACACGGGUACUACUGCUCUAAUGUUUGAUCAAGAAUGCAUCUAAUGGAUAAUCAAACUAGUGGUUUCACUCAAUUGAUUUUUGCAUAUAUAGGUAGGUGUACCUAGAGAUUGAGCUGGAGACAGUGAAGGUGCUGACCUCUGUGUGCAACACUUAGAAGCUGGCAAGUUUUCAUAUUGAAGGGUAUGGUUCCCAACCGCCCAUCACACACAGAAUGUAGCUUGUCGUCUUCCGCAGUAAAAACUGGGUGCUGGAAGAUGCUUACUGCUAUAUUGACUGCUUCCGAGCGCUUCCUGGACCUAAAAAUUAUCUCCCAGCAGCAACCUCCCCAAGGUGUGACGAGAGUCUUCAAGUGUUCCAGACGGCUGGUGAUGCAUUUCAAGAAAAGCCAUCAGAAUCUUGCAAUGAUCUGUAUACUUAAUAAAUGACAAAACAACAA